GACGAACGCUGGCGGCGUGCUUAACACAUGCAAGUCGAGCGGUAAGGCCUCUUCGGGGGUACACGAGCGGCGAGCGGGUGAGUAACACGUGGGUGACCUGCCCCGCACUUCGGGAUAAGCCUGGGAAACUGGGUCUAAUACCGGAUAUUACACAUGGUCUCGCAUGGGGUUGUGUGGAAAGUUUUUUCGGUGUGGGAUGGGCCCGCGGCCUAUCAGCUUGUUGGUGGGGUGAUGGCCUACCAAGGCGACGACGGGUAGCCGGCCUGAGAGGGCGACC
rnacentral:rRNA from 1 species